UAGGCCUAAAAUAAAAUUUCAUUUGUUUGGCAUUGCCGCCCGACCCACUGAAAAACUUGCCGCCCAAAUAAUUUUAUUUGCGUUUCAGAAAUUUAUUUUUUUUUAUUUAAAAAAAAUCGAAAUUGUGCCGGAAAUUGAUCGUAUCCGCCGAGUUUGUUCCUGGCUUUACUUAUUUCAAAUCAUGAUCUUAAAAGCGCUUGCCUUACACUGUAUUGGGAGCAAACAUUUAAAUGACAUGGAAUAGAAAAAGUCUGCCAAAAGUAAUGUCAAAGAGGCCGGCAGGGGAAGGCAUCUCCCUAUGCUGCAAUGCAUUGGUUAAGGGAGAUGGAUUUUAUCAAAAAUCAAAUUUCAGCUAUUCUUUGAAAGAAACGUUCUGAGAGACCUUGUAGAGGACUCAAUUUUAUCUUUUGUAAAGCAGAAACAGAUGAUUUCUGCUUGACUUUGUCGCUUCAUGAGAUAGAAGUUUUUCACCGGGACAUCACAGAACAAAUAUGCGUGGCUCUUACAUUUGUUGAACUUAUUAAAUAUUUGAAAUUUAUCAUUGACAAAUUUUCCCUUGAACCAGAGAACAAAGUAUCUACUAUAGUCAGAACCACAAUGAUGCAUUCAAGAUAAUUAUGGCUGUAAGCACCAAAGCUUAAAGACCAUAAUGAUUUACAGGUUUAUAGUAGUUUUGUACCAGUAGAUGCUAGCCUGGAACAAAACAUACAUAUUUUAAAGACUAGCAUCUUGUGUCAAUUGAAGUACUUCCCCCUUUUCUUG
rnacentral:lncRNA from 1 species